GGUGAGGUGCGAGAGCGGCUGAAUCGGGCAGUUUGCUAAACUGUUGUGCGGAUAAAACCGCACCGAGGGUUCGAAUCCCUCCCUCACCG
rnacentral:tRNA from 1 species